AUGAACGCUAGCUACAGGCUUAACACAUGCAAGUCGAGGGGCAGCAUGGUCUUAGCUUGCUAAGGCCGAUGGCGACCGGCGCACGGGUGAGUAACACGUAUCCAACCUGCCGUCUACUCUUGGACAGCCUUCUGAAAGGAAGAUUAAUACAAGAUGGCAUCAUGAGUUCACAUGUUCACAUGAUUAAAGGUAUUCCGGUAGACGAUGGGGAUGCGUUCCAUUAGAUAGUAGGCGGGGUAACGGCCCACCUAGUCUUCGAUGGAUAGGGGUUCUGAGAGGAAGGUCCCCCACAUUGGAACUGAGACACGGUCCAAACUCCUACGGGAGGCAGCAGUGAGGAGUAUUGGUCAAUGGGCGCAGGCCUGAACCAGCCAAGUAGCGUGAAGGAUGACUGCCCUAUGGGUUGUAAACUUCUUUUAUAAAGGAAUAAAGUCGGGUAUGUAUACCCGUUUGCAUGUACUUUAUGAAUAAGGAUCGGCUAACUCCGUGCCAGCAGCCGCGGUAAUACGGAGGAUCCGAGCGUUAUCCGGAUUUAUUGGGUUUAAAGGGAGCGUAGAUGGAUGUUUAAGUCAGUUGUGAAAGUUUGCGGCUCAACCGUAAAAUUGCAGUUGAUACUGGAUAUCUUGAGUGCAGUUGAGGCAGGCGGAAUUCGUGGUGUAGCGGUGAAAUGCUUAGAUAUCACGAAGAACUCCGAUUGCGAAGGCAGCCUGCUAAGCUGCAACUGACAUUGAGGCUCGAAAGUGUGGGUAUCAAACAGGAUUAGAUACCCUGGUAGUCCACACGGUAAACGAUGAAUACUCGCUGUUUGCGAUAUACGGCAAGCGGCCAAGCGAAAGCGUUAAGUAUUCCACCUGGGGAGUACGCCGGCAACGGUGAAACUCAAAGGAAUUGACGGGGGCCCGCACAAGCAGCGGAGCAUGUGGUUUAAUUCGACGCAACGCGAAGAACCUUACCAAGUCUUGACAUCCCUUGACGAACAUAGAAAUAUGUUUUCUCUUCGGAGCAAGGAGACAGGUGGUGCAUGGUUGUCGUCAGCUCGUGUCGUGAGAUGUUGGGUUAAGUCCCGCAACGAGCGCAACCCUUAUUGCCAGUUACUACGCAAGAGGACUCUGGCGAGACUGCCGUUGACAAAACGGAGGAAGGUGGGGAUGACGUCAAAUCAGCACGGCCCUUACGUCCGGGGCUACACACGUGUUACAAUGGGGGGUACAGAGGGCCGCUACCACGCGAGUGGAUGCCAAUCCCAAAAACCUCUCUCAGUUCGGACUGGAGUCUGCAACCCGACUCCACGAAGCUGGAUUCGCUAGUAAUCGCGCAUCAGCCACGGCGCGGUGAAUACGUUCCCGGGCCUUGUACACACCGCCCGUCAAGCCAUGGGAGCCGGGGGUACCUGAAGUGCGUAACCGCGAGGAGCGCCCUAGGGUAAAACUGGUGACUGGGGCU
rnacentral:rRNA from 1 species